rnacentral:rRNA from 1 species
AUUGAACGCUGGCGGCAGGCCUAACACAUGCAAGUCGAACGAGUGGCGGACGGGUGAGUAAUGUCUGGGAAACUGCCCGAUGGAGGGGGAUAACUACUGGAAACGGUAGCUAAUACCACAUACCAUCGGAUGUGCCCAGAUGGGAGUAGCUAGUAGGUGGGGUAACGGCUCACCUAGGCAACGAUCCCUAGCUGGUCUGAGAGGAUGACCAGGCACACUGGAACUGAGACACGGUCCAGACUCCUACGGGAGGCAGCAGUAGGGAAUAUUGCACAAUGGGCGAAAGCCUGAUGCAGCCAUGCCGCGUGUAUGAAGAAGGCCUUCGGGUUGUAAAGUACUUUCAGCGGGGAGGCGUUACUCGAAGAAGAAGCACCGGCUAACUACGUGCCAGCAGCCGCGGUAAUUC